CGUGUUUCACCUGAGGUUUUUACCACUGAUUAAUCUCUAGCGCUGACUACUCUAAGAUUUUCUGAGAACACUGGUCUCCCUGUCAUACGUCCUGAGACAGUUUUCUCUCUGCAGAACUGGGUCGGCUACCAGUUCCAGCUAGCCGGAUAGCAAGUAUGGGAUCGCUUCGAAGUAGUCUGGUGUGGUAGCGUGAAGUCCGUAACUUCCCCCCACAGGCGGAACACCACUAAUAUCGACGGCCUGAAUCGCUAUCAAUGCCGCAUAGAAACGACUUGAUGUAGCGUGGUUCCCGGAGUCCAGGAAACGAAAUUGCCGUUCUUCGCUCUUCAAAUGCCAACCGUGGCUUAGAUCGAUUACCGACUCUGAUCUGAUCGUGGAGCGAUGAGGAUCCGAGAUGAGUCCCGGCAUCGUAAUGCGGACUUCAGUCCUAUCGGGGAAUGAAUCUGGCGCUCUUAGGAUACCAACAGCCUUGCUCCGUUAUAGUCACAAGAUCAUUGAGUCUGAACCGAGGCGACCCGGCUUCACGUUGUGGAGUCUAAUCCCAUUGGAGAACGAAGUGGAUGGCUUUCAAUCAUUGGUCCGGAUCAGUAUCAGCAUCAGUCUACUCAGAUCAGACCAAUGAUGAAUCGAAUGAUGUUGGAGACGAAUUGACAUCGGGUCGUUGUCAGAUUUGAUCCCGUUGAAAAACUGCUGGCCUUUUAUCAUCGGUUCCAGGGACUGGCGUGGGUUGGACUACGUGAGGUCACGGGACACAACCAAUCGGUGCCGGCGUUACGAGUAACCGUGCACAGCCAUUCGAACGGUCUGAACAGCUUCGUGAGCUGUGCCAGUAGCGGGGAAAAAUACCGUAUCCAGCAGAAGAAAAAAACUGCGCGUCGGCAUGCUAUCAAUGGUGAUUGUGUGCGGUUAGGUGUGCGAUGUUGCUUCAAGACCGUGAUGUAAUGCGGGAUUCGUCUUCACAAGUGUAGAUAUUGAUGUAAAUAAAAUACGCCCUGUGGAAAA